ensembl:snRNA U6 U6 spliceosomal RNA
GUGCUCGCUUCAGCAGCACAUAUACUAAAAACUGGAACAACACAAAGAUUAGUAUGGCCCCUGCACAAGGAUGAUACGCAAAUUCAUGAAGCGUUCCAUAUUUUU